rnacentral:rRNA from 1 species
CCUACGGGAGGCAGCAGUGAGGAAUAUUGUUCACUGGACGAGAGUCUGAACCAGCCAAGUAGCGUGAAGGAUGACUGCCCUAUGGGUUGUAAACUUCUUUUAUCUGGGAAUAAAAUGUUCCACGUGUGGGAUUUUGUAUGUACCCUAUGAAUAAGGCUCGGCUAACUCCGUGCCAGCGGCCGCGGUAAUACGGAGGAUCCGCGCGUUAUCCGGAUUUAUUUGGUUUAAAGGGAGCGUAGGUGGAUUGGUAAGUCAGUUGUGAAAGUUUGCGGCUCAACCGAAAAAUUGCAGUUGAAACUGGCAGUCUUGAGGAAAGUAGAGGUGGGAGGAAUUCGUGGUGUAGCGGUGAAAUGCUUAGAUAUCACGAAGAACACCGAUUGCGAAGGCAGCUCACUGGACUGCAACUGACACUGAGGCUCGAAAGUGUGGGUAUCAAACAGGAUUAGAUACCCGUGUAGUC